CACUUCUCAAGGUCGCAUCUGGAAAGUUUCCAGUCCUGUACCAGUCACGACUACAGGAGGGAGAGUCAAGCAGAGGCCUACCCAUUCCAUUCCUAGCUUGGCCAGUGGCUAGCGAGUGGAAGGCAAUCUGCUACUAGU